UUAUGUUUUCUUUUAUGUGUAUUGUUAACUUGCCUAGAUAUUCAUUUAUCCAAUAAUCUCUGUUUUCUUUUCCUCUUUCUUUUCAAAAUGUUUAAGCCCUUUUUUUUUCAUCUCUUAACCCUUUUUUGGGGGGAUUUGUUUAACUUUGAAGAUUGAAGAACCAUGAAAUAUAACAAGAGAAGAAAUUAAGAACCCUUUUUUCUCUUCUUUAUUAUUUAUUUAUUUUGGUUUUUUUUGGGGUUUCAAGGUAAGGUUGAGUUAUCAACUUUACUCAACUUUGAUAUUUGAAAAAAAAAAAUUUGACCCACAAAUUUAAGAACCAUGAAAUCUAACAAGAGAGAAAAGUAUGUGGUACUAGUAGUUGGGAAGUGUGUUCUUUAUUUUUAAUAUUUCACAGACUUUUUUCUUGUUUUUGAAAGGUAAAGUCAUUUUUUUCUACACAUAUUAACAUAUAAAAUCAUUUGUUUUACAGAUUUUUGCUUAUUUUCAUGCCCUUUUCUUUUGAUUGGUAAAGCUAUACAUAUUUUCUGUAUUUAGGAUUUCGAUCCAUUUGUGAAAUGCCAAGUUGCCGUAUGCUAAAAACAAAUUCAACCCUUUGUUCUCUCUUUUCAUUUUUUCUUUUUUUAAUUUCCUGGAAAUUUCACACUUAGUUUCAGAUUUAUCAGUCAUUUUUUGCUGAUGCAGCAUCUUCAAGAUUCACAUGCAAAGUAUAGUACGGCCAGGCCAUAGCUUUUGUUUGAAGCAUGAGAAUCUUGAUGAUGCUGCAUCGGCCAUUAAUGACUCCACAACUCAUCCAUAAUGGAAAAAUCUUUAUAGAUCUUUCAAUUUUCCACCGCUUUUUUGGCAACUAUAAAAGUACAUCACGAUGAUGAUGAUGACUUUUAAUUAUAUCAAAACACAUGGACUGUUUCAAUUUGAUGAAAUUAAGGUUAGAAGAAACUUAUAUAUGUAGUUUUAGAGAUUAUAAGUAUUAUUUCCCCCCCUCUCCGUACAACCCCAGUUUCUCUUUUUCUGUGUUUUAAUACUCUUGUUAGGGUUUUGAGAAUUUAGGGUUUCUUUUUAAUGCCCUUUAUCAGAAGCUUUUUUUUUUUUUUGCUUUUUGGUAUUAAUUUCUUGAAGUUCAUCCACAAACCUCAAAUGGGUUUCUUUUGAAAGGUACAAAUACUUAAUAGUUUUUUUUUUAAAUGAUCCUUGAAUCUCUUGUUUUUGCUAGUUUGAGAUCUAUUGUUGUGUUCUUAUUUUUGAAUUUUAGGAUAAAUUUCAUGGACCAAUAUUUCUCUUCAGUUCAGGCUUUUGUCAGCUUUCUUCUAAUCAUUUAAGGAAUCUGCAAUUUAAAAAAAAAACUUUUUUUUUCAACAUAUGCACAUUAAUUCCUUGAGGCAGAAAAAAAGACAUUAAUAAAAUAACAUUGUACUCCAUGUUCCUGAGUGGUUUGAGGAAGUAUAUAUAUGUAUAUAAUUGAGGCAAAUUCCCAGGCUGAAACGUCCCACAUGCAAAACAUAAGAAAAAACAAAUUAUACAUACAAGCAUUAGCUGUAAGUCAGCAAAAAAAAAUGGGAACCAAUAUGAUUCUAAAUUACAAAUCUGCAUUGCAUUAUCUUUCAAAAUAGCACAUGAUUAUACAUGGAGACAUCAUGGGGUAAAUGAUAUGAUGGACUUUGUUGUUUGGUACCUGAGAAAAUUAACUUCAAAUUUUCUUUUUCUUUUUUCUUGGAUAUCACGGGGUUAAAUGCUAUUGAAUCCAGAGCAAGACCCUGAGAAAGUAUAUAAUUUAAGAAACAUACUUUAGUUAUAAACUUGCCAUGAAGCUUUCGGGGAAUUAGCUUAUAGUGAAGUGAGAAAUGGUGAUAUGAAACCAUGUAUUUUGUGGAAGAAUUUUAAAAGCCAUAAUAAAAAGCAGUGGAGAAUGGAUGCCUGCUGGUCGAGUGUACGGUAAGGUUUAGAGUUUUAACAAUGUGGAUGAAAAAAAAAGUUAAAUCACUAUUUGAAUCCUCAAUUUUUUUUCAAUUUAAUCCUAAACUUAGUAAUUGUUUCCAUAUUGGGACUUAAACAAUUUUUGUCCAAGUUAGUAAUUCAAUUUGACAAUUGUUCCCACAUUGAGGAUUGAACUUUAGGUUUUUCAAGAAAAUAUUAAGGAUUAACUUGGUAAAAGAAAUUUAGACUUCAAUGUGAGAACAAUUGCCAAGUUCAGGACUAAUUUGAAAAAGAAAUUCAAGCCUCAAUGUGGGAAUAAUUGCCAAAUUUAAGGGCUAACUUAGACAAAAAAAGUUUAACAAGUUCAGGGGUUGGGGCCUAAACUUAUUGAGACUUGAACUUCUAGGUUUUUAAGGUAAUAUCAAUGACUAACUUGGAAAAAAAAAGUUCUAGCUUUAAUGUGAGAAUUGUCAAGUUCAUGGACUAACUUGAAAAAAAAGUUUAGAUCCGAUUCAAACACAAAAUAUUAAUUUAACCAAAAGAGUCUAAGAAAGCUUUAUCUUCUAUUAAAAAAUUUUGAUCCGAUUCUAUAUUGAAUUUAGUCAAAAACCGAAAGUAAUUAUGGGUAUCAACUAUAUACAUAUAAAAUUAUAUAUAUAAAGUGGUGGCAUUUAGUGACAAAAGCUAUUAUGUCAUUUUUGACAAUGGAAAGGAAAGUGUGAUUUGAAUCAUUCCUUCUUCAAACAGGUCCACUCAGUCUGAAGAAAAAAACAACUUCAAAGUGUACGAUGUUAUCCGAGCAAAUCAACCCUAGAUGCCCAUGUUUACAACAUAUAUAUAUUUCUUGUGUUAUGCUUUAUUUUAAUUAUAUUUUUCAUGUAAUAUUCCUUUUUUUUAAGGUUUUUCAUGUAAUAUUCAUAUCAACGUGUCUAGGUUUUGGAUGGUAAUGUUUGGGCUGAAAUGGAUUUCAUGAAAAAUAAUUCAUUUUAUACAUUAUCAUCACUAUAUAUAUACUGUUUCAUUGAAUUUAGUUAAUAAUUUUUUCUUUUUC